rnacentral:lncRNA from 1 species
CGGGAGAGAAGAGACAGCGGGGCUGGUGUGUGAGGCCCUCGGGCAGGAAACCCCAGCUGCUGCCCACAGGGAGAAGGUUCCCGAGGCGGGGAUGGGAUGGGCUCUGAGUUGACACACAGAUCAGUAAGAGAAGCAUUAGAAGAGUGAUGGGAGUGAUUUGCCUUGGUUCUUUAAAUCUGUGACAGGAAGCAUCAGGGAGAAGUAUAUAACUGCAUGUUCUGGAAUGGCACAAAGCUGAGAGAAAAGCUGCAAGGCAGACAAGGUUUUCUCUCAACAAGCUGAUGACAGAAGAAUUUCUCCAGGUUGAUUGUUUGCCCCACAUGGUCCUCUGGAUUUCUUCAUACAAGUGGAGAGAAGCAGAUCAAAAGCCUGCAAGAAAAAAAACAGGCAGAGGAUUGAAAAAAGCCACCAUAAAGAACCUACUCAGGCUCAGAGUAUUUUCUGAAAAAGUUCUGCAGGGCAGAGGGGUUGAACAGUUGAUCACAUGCAGGAGCACGGGAUAGAUGGAGUACAGCUGACUCAACAACUACAGGGGAUUUCGGAGGGAAACAAUCAAUUGCUUGAAGGAGACGAUGUUAUCCAGCUUGUGGUGUCAGUCAGCCGGUUCCCACAAUCAUUGCAUUGACGGAGGAAAAUUUUGAUAAGCAGGACUUCUUAUCUGGCUCCACUGCAAUUGAAUGACAGGAGUUGGUUGACUGGAAAUUGCAUUGUUUCCA